CGCGUGUGUGAAGAAGGUCUUCGGAUUGUAAAGCACUUUAAGUUGGGAGGAAGGGUAGUAGCUUAAUACGUUGCUACUUUGACGUUACCGACAGAAUAAGCACCGGCUAACUCUGUGCCAGCAGCCGCGGUAAUACAGAGGGUGCAAGCGUUAAUCGGAAUUACUGGGCGUAAAGCGCGCGUAGGUGGUUAUGUAAGUUGAAUGUGAAAUCCCCGGGCUCAACCUGGGAACUGCAUCCAAAACUGCAUGGCUAGAGUACGGUAGAGGGUGGUGGAAUUUCCUGUGUAGCNGCGAAAUGCG
rnacentral:rRNA from 1 species